rnacentral:tRNA from 1 species
UCCGGGGUCGUCUAACGGUAGGACGCAAGCCUCUGAAGUUUGUUAUCGGAGUUCGAAUCUCUGCCCCGGAG